CUGACGGUAGUCGUAUGCUCGUCUCCGAGACUAAGCCAUGCAAGUCCAAGUACACGUCCUUGAACGACGGAAACUGCGAACGGCUCAUUAAAUCAGUUGCGAUCUACUCGGCGUUCCGCGCCGCCGGAUAACCGUAGUAAUUCUAGGGCUAAUACGUGCGAAGCGCCCGAAGCCGCGAGGCGACGGGCGUUCUCGCCCGGAUGUAGGAACCGACCCGGGGACCGCCGGGGGCAACCCGGCGCCCCCGAGACGGGGCGAACCACGGUGAAAUGACGGAUCGUCGGCCCCGCGCCGGCGACUCGCCGAAUGAGUUUCUGACCUAUCAACUCGAGACGGCGGGGUAGAGGCCCGCCGCGGUAACGACGGGUUAACGGGGAAUCAGGGUUCGAUUCCGGAGAGGGAGCCCGAGAAACGGCUACCACUUCCAAGGAAGGCAGCAGGCG
rnacentral:rRNA from 1 species